CGCGUGCACCGCUUGCACCCGCGCGUGCAGAACCCAUGGAUGGGGUCACCACCAUCCCUCCUCUCCUCCUCCUCAUUUGUUCCAAACCAGUGGAAAGCUAGGGUUCCGCUGACUCGCGAGUGGAGGGCGCUGCUCGUCGCCAGGCUCGUCGCGCCGUCCUCGCCGGCGGGAGGGCCGGUCGUCCGUCAGCAUCCUCUCUUCCGUUGGUCAUCCUCCCUCUCUUUCGCUAGCCGCCAUCGCUCUCUUCCACUGGUUCGCUCUCUCCGUCAAGCCGUUUGGUUUCGCCGGCUCUCUGCUACGCCCCUCUCUUUCGUCGACUCUCUCCGUUGAGCUCUCUGGUAAGGGCUAGGUUGGGCAUCUCCUUCCCUUUCUCACCUCCUUCAGUUUCUUCUCCUCUCUUCCUUUGAUUUCAGCCGAUUUGUUUGGAUUAGACCGUGUCCCCUUCAUAAAUAUGCUAGAUCUACUCCAUUAUCUAAAAAAAAUGCUAGAUCUACUAAAAGCUGAUAUCUUUCUUGGUUGAUUUCGAUGGAAUGAAAUGUCUAGUGGCUUGCUUUUUUGUUCUAAGAUGGCCAAUGAUGACUAAUGUUGCUGAUUUGUGAUGCUUAUGAACAGAUUUUUCCUACACUUAUUCCUAUUUUCCUGUUGAUUUGUGUUAUGCCAUUGUAUCUUUGGCUACAAAUAGAAGUUACUGAUAAGGCCAGAUUCAAUAGUGCGUUCUUUUAAAUUGAUACUGACAGAUACACACUUGAUUAAUAGUGCUUAUUUGUGAUGCAUAAGAACAUAUAUGCCUGCACUUGACCUUAUUCGAUAAGGUCAGGCAACCAAACAUGCCCUUUCUAAGUUUGUCUUUCUGUGAUCUUUCUCAGUAUUUUAUAGUUGAAAUUAUCUUUAGCAGAACUGAGGCCACCUCUACACUUGAACUGAGCAGAAUUUAUAAGAGUACAUGAACAGAUUUUUCUACACUUGUUCUUUUUUCUUGCUGUUAGGCUGGGAAAGAUGGCCAAUGAUGAUAUAUGCUGCUGUUUGUGAUUCAUGUGAAUAGAUUUUUGCUCUACACUUGUUCUCAUUUUCUUGCGGUUUCUUUUUUCCUACACUUGGUCUUAUUUUCCUUUUCCUUAUACCUUUUCUUUUGCUACAUUUGAUAGAUACUACUGGUAAGAACAGAUACCAAUGAUAGUAGCUAAUUCACAUUCUUCAUAUAUCUGAGGCCAUUGUUCUGCAUUUAUUUACCUGUUGGAAAUGAGGCUCAAUGAUGUCAAAUUUCUGCACAUAUUUGCUACAUUUUCGAGUUAUUGAUGUCAGGCAAAUACUAUCAAGUUCCUUGUUCAUCUUUUGAUAUCAACAGAUGUACUCACUUUUUUUAGGUAACCACACUUGAUUUUGACAUGAUCAAGUUUUUAUAUGAAACCGAUACACUCUGCACUUGCUCUUUUGGUAAAGAUCAUACUACUAUUAAGUGUUGAUGCUCUUGCAACCUGAUCUCUGCAACUCAGAUCCUGUACUAUUUCAAAGGUACAUGUUAUCCUGUUUACUUUUACUAUGUUUCAGGAAAAUGUGAUAAUGGAAAAACUUGUGAGAUCAAGUGUAGAUAUACUAAGGUUGAUGAGUUUGAAGAACAUAGCUGAAACAGAUGGUUUAGUUUUGUAUGCGGUUACUAAUUUGUUUAUCAAAUUGGUUACUGUAAAAAAUUUGCCAUGAGCACGUAUAUUUGUAUGUUUGUUUUGAAUUGUCAAAUGUACCAGUGUCGUCAAUAAAAUUAUGUACAUGAUUUUUGCUAGAAUAAUCACUCUUGCGUGUUCAUCCAGGCCAUUUCGUUACAUUUGAUAAAAAAAAUGAUCAUCAGUGCUGCUCAUUGGUUUUAAAAAAUGACAACAUCAGUAAAGCAUACAUACCCAGUACAUCGAUUCUCUAAGAGAAAAAUGAGCUUAGGAAUAUUAGUAGGUGGGCACAGACCCAGAGUAACAUAAUUUAAUCUAUAUAUCUACGAUGGAUUAAACUUAUCACACAUAAAUAGAUUAGGGACUAGGAAAAAAUCUCGUUUCACAAACUUUAUGGGGUAACCUAACCACCCACAAGAAUAGGUAUUUACACAUAAGAUGUAUCCAUCCAACCAAACAACAUCUCCUGCAUGCUACCAUUCCAUCCGCCCCUUGCUGCAACCAACCAAACAGCAUCUCAUCAUAUCCAGGUUCAUCUCAUCCAAGCAACCAAACACCUACAUGUGUAUCCUCUAAACCAGGCUAAACUUAGCCUGGAUGAGGGAGAUGGGCCAGGCUAGAGGGAUACGAGCAACCAAACAGACCCUUACUGCAUAAUCUUCACCUUCUGUAAACCCUCUCACUGAGCAAUUGGAUAUAGGGAGUAAGUGGAAAUGGAUGCAGAUGGUAGCUCCAAGAAAGGCCCUCCAGGUCGUCGCACUAGAAAGAAGCUGAAGUUCAAGCCAAAAGUGCCACCACAAAAGCCAAGAAAAUCAGUUCCAGAAAAGCCAAACCUGGAACAGUCAAAGCCAAUUGAUGAAGAAUUGAUGAAGAGACUGAAGACUGGCCAAGGAGCUACAAAAACAUUGUCAAGUAUAAAAGAUGAACACUCAACACAGAACCCACCCUCAACUGUUUCUUCUGCAGCUAGUGUUAGCUUAACACUGCCACAGUCAGGAGGGCACAACCAAGGCCAACUGGAAGAAGAAGCCAUUCCACAUCACAAGAGCGGUUCCUCUUGAUGCUAUUCCAGGAUUUUUAUACGACGAUGAGGAUGAUGAUGACGACGACGACGAUGAGGGCGAUAACAAUGUUGAAUUAGAGGAGAUUCGACCAAGUUCAACUGAAUGUGAAUCUUCCAUCCAUCCAGCAGAAGAGCUGAAUUUACUCGAGCAAGGUGACACGAGAAGAAUGCUCCUAUUCCAGUUGCCAAAAUCUCUUCCGUUGCCAAGAAUAUCCGCUGCAGUUGAAAGGAAUGGAAAAGCCAGGGACAAGGAGGUGAAAGAAGGAUCCAACUUGAAAGAAUUGCCACAAGGAUAUUUGGGCAAAAUGGUGGUGUACAAGAGCGGCAAGAUCAAGAUGAAGUUGGGGGAUGUCAUGUUUGAUGUGAACCCAGGAGAAGAGUGUAGGAUGGCACAACAUGUGGCUGCUAUCAACACCAAAGAGAAGCAUUGUUGUUUACUUGGCGAGAUCGAGAGCCGGCAUGUCGUUGUGACUCCAGAUGUGGACUCGCUGCUGUUGAAUGACAAUAGAGGUUAGGUAAUUACGUGUGCAUAAGUGCAUUGGUCAGCUGUGAGCUACAGUCCUGCAAUGACUUGCCAGAUUAGUGUGCAUAGCUAGCAAUGUGCAUUUUAACUGUAUUUGUAGCGGUUGUAAAAUUGUGUGCCUUUAGAAGAUUUGCUGCUUGUAGUAAAUGAAUACUUAGCUUAGAUUGUACUUAUGGUAGUAUUGUUGAUGUGUCAUGUUAUGAUUUUUAUGGAGAUCUCACUAAAGCUUUUAUCGAGA